GCAUUCACUUUGGCAGCACAUACACUAAAAUUGAAAUGAUACAAAGAUUAGCACAGCCCCUGAACAAGGAUGGCAUGCAAAUUCAUGUAGCGUUUCAUGUUUUU